rnacentral:snRNA from 1 species
GUGCUCAUUUUGGCAGCACAUAUACCAAAAUUGGAAUGACACAGAGAAAGUAAGCACGGCCCCUGCACAAGGAGGACAUGCAAUUCAUGUAGCACUCCAUAUUUGU